CGAGAAAUACCUUCGGGUAUGAUUAGAGUGGCGCACGGGUGAGUAACGCGUAGAUAACCUACCCCCCAGACUGGAAUAACCCUUCGAAAGGAGGGCUAAUACCGGAUAAAACCUCGAUUCAAGUGUUUUGAGGUUGAAAGCUCCGACGCUGGAGGAUGGGUCUGCGUCCCAUUAGCUAGUUGGUAAGGUAAUGGCUUACCAAGGCGACGAUGGGUAGCGGGUCUGAGAGGAUGAUCCGCCACACUGGCACUGAGACACGGGCCAGACUCCUACGGGAGGCAGCAGUAGGGAAUAUUGCGCAAUGGGGGAAACCCUGACGCAGCAAUGCCGCGUGAGUGAAGAAGGCUUUCGGGUCGUAAAGCUCUUUAUCUGAGGGAAGAUGAUGACGGUACCUCAGGAAUAAGCACCGGCUAACUACGUGCCAGCAGCCGCGGUAAUACGUAGGGUGCGAGCGUUGUUCGGAAUUACUGGGCGUAAAGGGCGUGUAGGCGGAUAAGUAAGCUAGGGGUGAAAGCCCGGGGCUCAACCCCGGAGGUGCUUCUGGAACUGCUUGUCUAGAGAGGGUCAGAGGCUAACAGAAUUCCUGGUGUAGAGGUGAAAUUCGUAGAUAUCAGGAGGAAUACCGGUGGCGAAAGCGGUUAGCUGGGGCCACUCUGACGCUGAUGCGCGAAAGCGUGGGGAGCAAACGGGAUUAGAUACCCCGGUAGUCCACGCUGUAAACGAUGGGUACUAGAUGUCCGAGGGGAUCGACCCCCUUGGGUGUCGCAGCUAACGCAAUAAGUACCCCGCCUGGGGAGUAC
rnacentral:rRNA from 1 species